GUAGAAUAUUCUUUGAUUUAUAGAA
rnacentral:piRNA from 1 species